rnacentral:misc_RNA from 1 species
GAAAUAUCUUAUAAAUUUUGUGGUAGAAGACCUCUAGCAAUCUUAAUUCUGCAUCUGGAUUUGACAACUCAACCUUUGUCUUUAGAUCAUUAAUUACAUCACCAACAGUAGAUUGUUUUGGUAGUCUGAUAGUGUAAGUGACCACUUCAUCUUUGGUAGCAUGAUGAAAAGCUACUUUUAAGGUUUUUAAACCUUGCAAUUCUGGCAAAGGAAUGUCCAGUACUUCAUAGUACAAAAUA